UACGUAGGUGGCAAGCGUUGUCCGGAUUUACUGGGCGUAAAGAGCGCGCAGGCGGUCGUUCAAGUCGCGUGUGAAAGCCCCCGGCUCAACUGGGGAGGGUCACGCGAUACUGAUCGACUCGAAGGCAGGAGAGGGUAGUGGAAUUCCCGGUGUAGUGGUGAAAUUCGUAGAUAUCGAGAGGAACACCUGCGGCGAAGGCGGGUUGCUGGGCUGACACUGACGCUGAAGUGCGAAAGCUAGGGGAGCGAACGGG
rnacentral:rRNA from 1 species